rnacentral:lncRNA from 1 species
CUCCCUUUAUACAACCGCAAUCCAACACAGCCCCAUCACCACCAGAACCACCAUCUCACUACCAUCGCCCUACUAAGAAUCAAAACUACCAUCUCCACCACACCACCAACCAAAAAUUCUCCAAACCUACCAUCGUCGUCGUCGUCGUCACAACCUUCGUAGCUGAUCCACAACUAUAGCUAUCGUCAUCACCAUCUCACCACCCCCGCCUGCUAAAAUCCACCAUCUCUUCCACCUUUACCCCACCACACCACAAACACACCCCCACCAACAAAAUCCCUAAACUUGCCGUCACCAACUGCACUUUCAAACAGAUCAACCUCCAACUCUGGCUACCACAAAAUCAGAGAAAGAAAGAGAAAAGAAUUUUUUGUAAUGAUCACGACGUUCGGCCCAUCGACUGGGACAGUUGACCGCUACUGAUAUCAUCACCUUUGCUAGCGCGAUAGUUGGUACAUCGACUCGCCGUUGUAUUGUACGCAGCGGCACUCGAAAAGUCGAUCACCGUUGGCGAUACCAUCACCCAUGCAUUGGUACCAUCAUCGCAGAGCUAAGCUGUGGUGAUACCAUUGCCAUUGCACACGAUAGUCUGCCCAUCGACUCCGACAGGUUGUGUGUGUGUGAGAGAUGGCGAUGGUUGGUUGGUUAUGUUGAAUUAGG